rnacentral:rRNA from 1 species
CAGCAGCCGCGGUAAUACGAAGGGGGCUAGCGUUGCUCGGAAUGACUGGGCGUAAAGGGCGCGUAGGCGGCGGCCAAAGUCAGGCGUGAAAUUCCCGGGCUCAACCUGGGGGCUGCGUCUGAUACUUGGUUGCUUGAGUGGGGAAGAGGGUCGUGGAAUUCCCAGUGUAGAGGUGAAAUUCGUAGAUAUUGGGAAGAACACCGGUGGCGAAGGCGGCGACCUGGUCCUUUACUGACGCUGAGGCGCGAAAGCGUGGGGAGCAAACAGGAUUAGAUACCCCGGUAGUCCCUGUCUCUUAUAA